rnacentral:rRNA from 1 species
CAAGCUAGAGUGUNUCAGAGGGGGGUAGAAUUCCACGUGUAGCAGUGAAAUGCGUAGAGAUGNGGAGGAAUACCGAUGGCGAAGGCAGCCCCCUGGGAUANCACUGACGUUCAUGCUCGAAAGCGUGGGUAGCAAACAGGAUUAGAUACCCUGAUAGUCCACGCCCUAAACGAUGUCAAUUAGCUGUUGGGCAACUUGAUUGCUUAGUAGCGUAGCUAACGCGUGAAAUUGACCGCCUGGGGAGUACGGUCGCAAGAUUAAAACUCAAAGGAAUUGACGGGGACCCGCACAAGCGGUGGAUGAUGUGGAUUAAUUCGAUGCAACGCGAAGAACCUUACCUGGUCUUGACAUGUACGGAAUCUCUCAGAGACGGGAGAGUGCCUUCGGGAACCGUAACACAGGUGCUGCAUGGCUGUCGUCAGCUCGUGUCGUGAGAUGUUGGGUUAAGUCCCGCAACGAGCGCAACCCUUGUCAUUAGUUGCCAUCAUUUAGUUGGGCACUCUAAUGAGACUGCCGGUGACAAACCGGAGGAAGGUGGGGAUGAUGUCAAGUCCUCAUGGUCCUUAUGACCAGGGCUUCACACGUCAUACAAUGGUCGGUACAGAGGGUCGCCAAGCCGCGAGGUGGAGCCAAUCUCACAAAACCGAUCGUAGUCCGGAUUGCACUCUGCAACUCGAGUGCAUGAAGUCGGAAUCGCUAGUAAUCGCAGGUCAGCAUACUGCGGUGAAUACGUUCCCGGGUCUUGUACACACCGCCCGUCACACCAUGGGAGUGGGGGAUACCAGAA